rnacentral:rRNA from 1 species
CUUGGUCAUUUAGAGGAAGUAAAAGUCGUAACAAGGUUUCCGUAGGUGAACCUGCGGAAGGAUCAUUACAAGCGAGGCUACCGAACGUUGGAAACAGCGGUUAGGAGCUUACACCCACCCGUGUUUACAUACUAUUGUUGCUUUGGCGGGCCGUGGCCUCCACUGCGGGCUCUGCUCGUGUGUGCCCGCCAGAGAACCAAACUCUGAAUGUUAGUGAUGUCUGAGUACUAUCUAAUAGUUAAAACUUUCAACAACGGAUCUCUUGGUUCUGGCAUCGAUGAAGAACGCAGCGAAAUGCGAUAAGUAAUGUGAAUUGCAGAAUUCAGUGAAUCAUCGAAUCUUUGAACGCACAUUGCGCCCUGUGGUAUUCCGCAGGGCAUGCCUGUUCGAGCGUCAUUUAACCACUCACGCCUAGCGUGGUAUUGGGGCACGCGGUCUCCGCGGCCCUCAAAAUUAGUGGCGGCGCCGGUGGGCUCUAAGCGUAGUACAUACUCCCGCUAUAGGGUUCCCCCCGGUGGCUCGCCAGAACCCCCAAUUUUUUACAGGUUGACCUCGGAUCAGGUAGGGAUACCCGCUGAACUUAAGCAUAUCAAUAAGCGGAGGA